rnacentral:rRNA from 1 species
GAUGAACGCUGGCGGCGUGCCUAAUACAUGCAAGUCGAGCGAACAGACGAGGAGCUUGCUCCUCUGACGUUAGCGGCGGACGGGUGAGUAACACGUGGAUAACCUACCUAUAAGACUGGGAUAACUUCGGGAAACCGGAGCUAAUACCGGAUCAUAUAUUGAACCGCAUGGUUCAAUAGUGAAAGACGGUUUUGCUGUCACUUAUAGAUGGAUCCGCGCCGCAUUAGCUAGUUGGUAAGGUAACGGCUUACCAAGGCAACGAUGCGUAGCCGACCUGAGAGGGUGAUCGGCCACACUGGAACUGAGACACGGUCCAGACUCCUACGGGAGGCAGCAGUAGGGAAUCUUCCGCAAUGGGCGAAAGCUUGACGGAGCAACGCCGCGUGAGUGAUGAAGGUCUUCGGAUCGUAAAACUCUGUUAUUAGGGAGGAACAAAUGUGUAAGUAACUAUGCACGUCUUGACGGUACCUAAUCAGAAAGCCACGGCUAACUACGUG